GAUUUUCCUGACGAUGAGCGGCGAACGGGUGCGUAACACGUGAGAAAUCUGCCCUAAAGUUCGGGAUAGCCCUACGAAAGUAGAAUUAAUACCGGAUGUGGCCCAGGGAGGGCAUCUUCCCCUGGCUAAAGCUCGGUUAUAGAGCGCUUUUGGAUGAUCUCGCGGUCUAUCAGCUUGUUGGUGAGGUAAUGGCUCACCAAGGCUAUGACGGAUAGCUGGUCUGAGAGGAUGAUCAGCCUCACUGGAACUGAGACACGGUCCAGACACCUACGGGUGGCAGCAGUCGAGAAUCAUUCACAAUGGGCGCAAGCCUGAUGGUGCGACGCCGCGUGGGGGAUGAAGGGCUUCGGUUCGUAAACCCCUGUCAUCUGUGAGUAAGACUCCCAAUAAAAGCUUGGGAGGUUGAUAUUAGCAGAAGAGGAAGGGACGGCUAACUCUGUGCCAGCAGCCGCGGUAAUACAGAGGUCCCAAGCGUUGUUCGGAUUUACUGGGCGUAAAGAGUGCGUAGGCGGCUAGAAAAGUUUGGUGUGAAAUCUUCGGGCUUAACCCGGAAACUGCACUGAAAACUAUCUGGCUAGAGGAUCGGAGAGGAGAUUGGAAUUCUCGGUGUAGCAGUGAAAUGCGUAGAUAUCGAGAGGAACACCAGUUGCGAAGGCGGAUCUCUGGACGGUUCCUGACGCUGAGGCACGAAAGCUGGGGUAGCGAAGAGGAUUAGAUACCCUCGUAGUCCCAGCCGUAAACGGUGCACACUUGCUGUGGGCGGAUUCGACCCCGUCUGUGGCGAAGCUAACGCGAUAAGUGUGCCGCCUGGGGAGUACGGUCGCAAGAUUAAAACUCAAAGAAAUUGAC
rnacentral:rRNA from 1 species